rnacentral:SRP_RNA from 1 species
GCGGGAUGACUUUGAAUACACUGGAAGGCAGAGGUGGGAGGAUUGCUAGAGCCCAGGAGUUCUGGACUGCAGUGAGCUAUGGCAAUCGAGUGUCUGCACUAAGUUCGGCAUCGAUAUGGUGACCUCCUGGGAGCAGGGGACCACUAGGUUGCCUAAGGAGGGGUGAACCAGCCCAGGUCGGAAACGGAGCAGCUCAAAACUCCAGUGCUGAUCAGUAGUGGGAUCGCGCCUGUGAAUAGCCACUGCACUCCAGCCUGGGCAACAUAGGGAGACUCCGUUUCU